rnacentral:rRNA from 1 species
UACGGAGGGGACUAGCGUUGUUCGGAAUUACUGGGCGUAAAGCGCACGUAGGCGGAUUUGUAAGUCAGGCGUGAAAGCCCCGGGCUCAACUCGGGAACUGCGCUUGAUACUGUCGAGCUAGAGUGUGGAAGGGGCGAUUGGAAUUCCGUGUGUAGCGGUGAAAUGCGUAGAUAUACGGAGGAACACCAGAGGCGAAGGCGGAUCGCUGGGCCAACACUGACGCUGAGACGCGAAAGCUAGGGUAGCAAACGGG